rnacentral:rRNA from 1 species
UACGUAGGUGGCAAGCGUUGUCCGGAGUUACUGGGUGUAAAGGGCGUGUAGGCGGGCAGAUAAGUCCGAUGUGAAAUUCCAUGGCUCAACUGUGGCGCUGCAUCUGAAACUAUUUUUCUUGAGUGAUGGAGAGGAAAGCGGAAUUCCUAGUGUAGCGGUGAAAUGCGUAGAUAUUAGGAGGAACACCAGUGGCGAAGGCGGCUUUCUGGACAUUAACUGACGCUGAGGCGCGAAAGCGUGGGGAGCAAACAGG